ensembl:misc_RNA 7SK 7SK RNA
AAUUGAGAGCAAGCUGUCUGUGACAUCUGUCAAGCCCACUGAGUGGAGAAUCGAUUUGGAAGAAAAGGAAGGUGUCCCCUUUCUUCCUGGCUCUGCCAUGUGUGUCUCUCCCAAAGUUGCAGGCUUCAUUGAUGAGGAUGAUUUUCCUAGAUAGAGAAGGACAAGGAUCUACAAGGAGUCAGGUUCUUCUGCUGGAAUAUCCAAGGCUU